rnacentral:rRNA from 1 species
CCUACGGGAGGCAGCAGUGGGGAAUUUUGCGCAAUGCUCGUAAGAGUGACGCAGCGACGCCGCGUGAAUGACGAAGGCCUUCGGGUCGUAAAGUUCUUUCGACAGGGAAGAAAAUGCCUAUAAGUAACUGUGUAUGUAUUGACGGUACCUGUAUAAGCAGCCCCGGCUAACUCCGUGCAAGCAGCCGCGGUAAUACGGAGGGGGCGAGCGUUGUUGGGAGUGACUGGGCGUAAAGAGCACGUAGGCGGUGUUGUAAGUCAUUAGUCAAAGACUAGAGCUCAACUUUAGUAAGGCUAGUGAUACUAUAAUACGAGAGUAUCAGAGAGGAUUGCAGAAUUCAUGGUGUAGCGGUGAAAUGCGUAGAUAUCAGGAGGAAUACCGUUAGCGAAGGCGGCAAUCUGGCUGGAAACUGACGCUGAGGUGCGAAAGCGUGGGUAGCAAACAGGAUUAGAUACCCGAGUAGUC